UAUGCCUGGCUCCCUGUAUGCCACAAGCAGAAGUUCAAUUUCUUGAUUGGCUAUUGUGGGUGGCGUACAAGGAGCCAAGCAUA